GAAAUAGGUUAUUCGAGAAUAAGCUUCUAACUUAAUUCUCAAGCAGUGAAAUUCUGUUUAUAUUUCU
rnacentral:tRNA from 1 species